CAGUAGCCGCGGUAAGACAGAGGAUGCAAGCGUUAUCCGGAAUGAUUGGGCGUAAAGGGUGCGUAGGCGGUUUGACAAGUCAUCUGUGAAAUCUAUGGGCUCAACCCAUAGUCUGCAGGCGAAACUGUCGGGCUUGAGUAUGGGAGAGGUGAGUGGAAUUUCCGGUGUAGCGGUGAAAUGCGUAGAUAUCGGAAGGAACACCUGUGGCGAAAGCGGCUCACUGGACCAUAACUGACGCUGAGGCACGAAAGCUAGGGGAGCAAACAGGAUUAGAUACCCCCGUAGUCCCUGUCUCUUAUAC
rnacentral:rRNA from 1 species